GCAUUGGUAGCUUAACAUCAAAGCAUCGGCCUUGUAAGCCGACAGAUGUGGGUUCGACCCCCACCCGGUGCU
rnacentral:tRNA from 1 species